UUAAGUUCAGCGGGUAGUCUCACCCGAUUUGAGGUCAAGGUUUAUAAAACGAUCGAGUUACAUGUAACUCUAGGGUUAGAAAGCAGGUUCCGAGCCGACAUGACGUUGAACAAAUGCUUAUCACGUCAAGGAUCAGCUAAAGCGGACCCCACCAAUUCCUUUAGGAGGAG
rnacentral:misc_RNA from 1 species